CUGCACUGUCUAGUGCCAGGUCUGCCAUCUCCGUGGCUCUCCUGUCUCAUUCCAGUGCCAGAUAAACCUCCGCCACAGGCAGAAGGGCUGGCCACAACACUGGUCCCUCCCUUUCGAUGGCAGAGAACAAUA
ensembl:snoRNA